rnacentral:rRNA from 1 species
AGAGUUUGAUCCUGGCUCAGGAUGAACGCUAGCUACAGGCUUAACACAUGCAAGUCGAGGGGCAGCGGGACUGAAGCUUGCUUCAAUUGCCGGCGACCGGCGCACGGGUGAGUAACGCGUAUCCAACCUUCCGUACACUCAGGGAUAGCCUUUCGAAAGAAAGAUUAAUACCUGAUGGUAUGAUGAGAUUGCAUGAUAGCAUCAUUAAAGAUUUAUCGGUGUACGAUGGGGAUGCGUUCCAUUAGGUAGUAGGCGGGGUAACGGCCCACCUAGCCAACGAUGGAUAGGGGUUCUGAGAGGAAGGUCCCCCACAUUGGAACUGAGACACGGUCCAAACUCCUACGGGAGGCAGCAGUGAGGAAUAUUGGUCAAUGGACGAGAGUCUGAACCAGCCAAGUAGCGUGAAGGAUGAAGGUCCUACGGAUUGUAAACUUCUUUUAUAAGGGAAUAAACCCUCCCACGUGUGGGAGCUUGUAUGUACCUUAUGAAUAAGCAUCGGCUAACUCCGUGCCAGCAGCCGCGGUAAUACGGAGGAUGCGAGCGUUAUCCGGAUUUAUUGGGUUUAAAGGGAGCGCAGACGGGUCGUUAAGUCAGCUGUGAAAGUUUGGGGCUCAACCUUAAAAUUGCAGUUGAUACUGGCGUCCUUGAGUGCGGUUGAGGUGUGCGGAAUUCGUGGUGUAGCGGUGAAAUGCUUAGAUAUCACGAAGAACUCCGAUUGCGAAGGCAGCACACUAAUCCGUAACUGACGUUCAUGCUCGAAAGUGUGGGUAUCAAACAGGAUUAGAUACCCUGGUAGUCCACACGGUAAACGAUGGAUACUCGCUGUUGGCGAUAUACUGUCAGCGGCUUAGCGAAAGCGUUAAGUAUCCCACCU